AACGAACGCUGGCGGCAGGCCUAACACAUGCAAGUCGAGCGCCCGCAAGGGAGCGGCGGACGGGUGAGUAACGCGUGGGAACGUACCCUUUGCUACGGAAUAGCCUCGGGAAACUGGGAGUAAUACCGUAUGUGCCCUUCGGGGGAAAGAUUUAUCGGCAAAGGAUCGGCCCGCGUUGGAUUAGGUAGUUGGUGGGGUAAUGGCCUACCAAGCCGACGAUCCAUAGCUGGUUUGAGAGGAUGAUCAGCCACACUGGGACUGAGACACGGCCCAGACUCCUACGGGGGGCAGCAGUGGGGAAUCUUAGACAAUGGGCGCAAGCCUGAUCUAGCCAUGCCGCGUGAGCGAUGAAGGCCUUAGGGUUGUAAAGCUCUUUCAGUGGGGAAGAUAAUGACUGUACCCACAGAAGAAGCCCCGGCUAACUCCGUG
rnacentral:rRNA from 1 species